UAGGGAAUCUUCGGCAAUGGACGAAAGUCUGACCGAGCAACGCCGCGUGAGUGAAGAAGGUUUUCGGAUCGUAAAACUCUGUUGUUAGAGAAGAACAAGGACGUUAGUAACUGAACGUCCCCUGACGGUAUCUAACCAGAAAGCCACGGCUAACUACGUGCCAGCAGCCGCGGUAAUACGUAGGUGGCAAGCGUUGUCCGGAUUUAUUGGGCGUAAAGCGAGCGCAGGCGGUUUCUUAAGUCUGAUGUGAAAGCCCCCGGCUCAACCGGGGAGGGUCAUUGGAAAGUGGGAGACUUGAGUGCAGAAGAGGAGAGUGGAAUUCCAUGUGUAGCGGUGAAAUGCGUAGAUAUAUGGAGGAACACCAGUGGCGAAGGCGGCUCUCUGGUCUGUAACUGACGCUGAGGCUCGAAAGCGUGGGGAGCAAACAGG
rnacentral:rRNA from 1 species